rnacentral:rRNA from 1 species
UACGUAGGGGGCUAGCGUUGUCCGGAUUUAUUGGGCGUAAAGAGCGUGUAGGCGGCCACACAGGUCUGCUGUGAAAACUCGAGGCUCAACCUCGAGCUGUCGGUGGAAACCGUGUGGCUAGAGUCCGGAAGAGGAGAGUGGAAUUCCCGGUGUAGCGGUGAAAUGCGCAGAUAUCGGGAAGAACACCCGUGGCGAAGGCGGCUCUCUGGGACGGUACUGACGCUGAGACGCGAAAGCUAGGGGAGCAAACAGG